GGGCGAUUAGCUCAGGGGGAGAGCGCCUGCUUUACACGCAGGAUGUCGGAGGUUCAAAUCCUCUAUCGCCCA
rnacentral:tRNA from 1 species